rnacentral:misc_RNA from 1 species
CCAGUGGGCGAUAGACGGCCUGUCUUGGUUCUGUAACUCAUCGCUGAGGCUCGAAAGUAUUGGGUAGCAAACAGGAUUAGAUACCCUGGUAGUCCAUACCGUAAACGAUGAAUGCAAGUGUUGGAGGGUUUCCGCCCUUCAGUUGUGCAGCUAACGCAUUAAGCAUUCCGCCUGGGAGUACGGCCGCAAGGCUGAAACUCAAAGGUAUUGACGGGGGCCCGCACAAGCGGUGGAGCAUGUGGUUUAAUUCGAAGCUACGCGAAGAACCUUACCAGGUCUUGACAUACUAUGCAAAUCUAAGAGAUUAGACGUUCCCUUCGGGGACAUGGAUACAGGUGGUGCAUGGUUGUCGUCAGCUCGUGUCGUGAGAUGUUGGGUUAAGUCCCGCAACGAGCGCAACCCUUAUUAUCAGUUGCCAGCAUUAAGUUGGGCACUCUGGUGAGACUGCCGGUGACAAACCGGAGGAAGGUGGGGAUGACGUCAAAUCAUCAUGCCCCUUAUGACCUGGGCUACACACGUGCUACAAUGGAUGGUACAACGAGUUGCGAACUCGCGAGAGUAAGCUAAUCUCUUAAAGCCAUUCUCAGUUCGGAUUGUAGGCUGCAACUCGCCUACAUGAAGUCGGAAUCGCUAGUAAUCGCGGAUCAGCAUGCCGCGGUGAAUACGUUCCCGGGCCUUGUACACACCGCCCGUCACACCAUGAGAGUUUGUAACACCCAAAGUCGGUGGGGUAACCUUUUAGGAACCAGCCGCCUAAGGUGGGACAGAUGAUUAGGGUGAAGUCGUAACAAGGUAGCCGUAGGAGAACCUGCGGCUGGAUCACCUCCUUUCUAAGGAAUAUUACGGAAACCUACACACGCGUCGAAACUUUGUUUAGUUUUGAGAGAUUUAACUCUCAAAACUUGUUCUUUGAAAACUAGAUAAUAUCAAAUAUAUUUUUUCAUAAUGAAACCGAGAACACCGCGUUUUUUGAGUUUUUUAUUGAAGUUUAAUUAUCGCUAAACUCAUUAAUCGCAUUUACCGUUAGGUAAAUGAGGUUAAGUAACAAGGGCGCAUGUUAAAGC